rnacentral:sRNA from 1 species
GCGGAUUGAACGACGCGACAAGAACGA